AACGAACGCUGGCGGCAGGCUUAACACAUGCAAGUCGAGCGCCCCGCAAGGGGAGCGGCAGACGGGUGAGUAACGCGUGGGAAUCUACCCAUCUCUACGGAAUAACGCAUGGAAACGUGUGCUAAUACCGUAUACGUCCCUCGGGAGAAAGAUUUAUCGGAGAUGGAUGAGCCCGCGUUGGAUUUGCUAGUUGGUGGGGUAAAGGCCUACCAAGGCGACGAUCCAUAGCUGGUCUGAGAGGAUGAUCAGCCACACUGGGACUGAGACACGGCCCAGACUCCUACGGGAGGCAGCAGUGGGGAAUAUUGGACAAUGGGCGCAAGCCUGAUCCAGCCAUGCCGCGUGAGUGAUGAAGGCCCUAGGGUUGUAAAGCUCUUUCACCGGUGAAGAUAAUGACGGUAACCGGAGAAGAAGCCCCGGCUAACUACGUGCCAGCAGCCGCAGUAACAC
rnacentral:rRNA from 1 species